rnacentral:tRNA from 1 species
GAUCCUGAGGUGAUAAAUCAUGUUGAAUUGCAAAUUCGAGGGAGUAGAUUUAAUUCUACCAGGGUU